GCCGAGGUAGCUCAGUUGGUAGAGCACCACUUUUGUAAAGUGGACGUCGCAGGUUCGAUCCCUGUCCUCGGCUCAA
rnacentral:tRNA from 2 species